rnacentral:rRNA from 1 species
CAGAGGGGGCAAGCGUUGUUCGGAAUUACUGGGCGUAAAGGGCGCGUAGGCGGCCUUCUAAGUCGAACGUGAAAUCCCCGGGCUCAACCCGGGAACUGCGUCCGAUACUGAAAGGCUUGAAUCCGGGAGAGGGAUGCGGAAUUCCAGGUGUAGCGGUGAAAUGCGUAGAUAUCUGGAGGAACACCGGUGGCGAAGGCGGCAUCCUGGACCGGAAUUGACGCUGAGGCGCGAAAGCCAGGGGAGCAAACGGGAUUAGAUACCCCGGUAGUCCUGGCCCUAAACGAUGAAUGCUUGGUGUGGCGGGUAUCGAUCCCUGCCGUGCCGAAGCUAACGCAUUAAGCAUUCCGCCUGGGGAGUACGGUCGCAAGGCUG